UAAAAAUUACCAUUAUUGACUUUUUGAAAAAGCUUGAAAAUUUAAUCGGGUUUUGUUGAUUUGGUGUUCCAUGACCUAGAAAAUUAGUUUGAAUUCGUGAUUAUUGUUGAAUAAAAAUGUACUCAGGUGAUUAGUUUUGAUAAAAGUCAAAAAAUACCAUUAACAAGUUUGAAGCUUUGGGUUUGAGCUUCAUUUUGAAAUUUCUAUAAGGAUUUGUGAUGGAUGUUGUUAAAACUUGUUAAAAAUUGGGCAAAGAGUUGAAUCUAUAGUUGGAGAAGAAAGUGCUUGUAGUCGAAGGAUUGGUGGUAGUAUGGCGGUGGUAGAGAAGAUGAUGUGGUUGGAGAGAUGAGGAGGGGGUGGGGUUUUUUUCUGUAUUUUUUUCUUUGGGAAGAUGAGGAGUGGGGUGGGGAGGGGGGUAGAGGUUUUUUUUUUCAGUUUUUUUUAACGAUUUAUGACACAUGUCAGACGCUGAUUGACACGUGUAAUAGCAAUCUUUAAGCAGAUGUGAUCAAAUACCGAAGUGGUGUGUAAUUGACACACCUUUCAAAAUUUUGGUAGGUAAUAUUAUUUCCGUCUUUAACAUGUGUGUAAGAGAAAUUUGGGGUAAAGAUCGAUGGGUAAAGUAUGAAUUUUGGCAAUAUAAUUUCUCCAAAAGAAUUUAAGAAGUUUCUAGUUAUUGUUGGUGGAAAAGGAGUGAAUAGGAAGUGAUAAGAAACCAUUGGUAUGUUAUCAAAUAUGAGGUCCAUAUCGCCCGGAUCACAAUCUUAGGAUAAGAGACCAAUCUAAAAUCCACGCUCCUAUUGGACAUCUCAUUUUUAUCGCUUGACUCUUCUUCUUUCUAUAUUCCACAUUUCUCACAUCAAUAAUAGCAAACAAAAACAAACCAAAUUGCAACUUCAAAGCCAGAAACCCUUAACAGCAACAAAGAAAUGGCAGCCACCAUAGGAACCAUGGCCAUGCUCAACGUCAAAUGCUUUACCAAAGCAUCUAUUAACAACCCUUCAAAGCCCAAACCCAUCUCUCUUCUCUCCCUUCAAAACCUCCCAAAAGGUCUAUUGACUUCCAAAACAUCUGAAAACACCUCAAACUUAUCAAGUUCCCUCACUGGAACAGCAAUUGCAGGUGCCAUUUUCUCAACCCUGAGCUCAUGCGACAGCGCUUUUGCCGCUCAACAAAUUGCUGACAUAGCAGAGGGAGACAACAGGGGUUUAGCACUUUUACUUCCUUUAAUUCCUGCUAUAGCAUGGGUUCUUUACAACAUUCUUCAACCAGCACUGAACCAAAUCAAUAAAAUGAGGAAUCAAGGAGUUAUUAUUGGUCUUGGUCUAACUGGUUUAGCAGCAUCAGGUUUUUUCCACACUCCAGAGGCUUCAGCUGCUAGUGAAAUUGCUAUGAUUGCAGAUGCAGCAAGUGACAACAGAGGACAACUUUUGUUGAUUGUUGUGACUCCUGCUUUGCUUUGGGUUGCUUACAAUAUUCUACAGCCAGCUUUGAAUCAGAUCAACAAGAUGAGACAGUGAGGAUCAUGUUUUGUAAAAGUGUGCAGUUGUAUUUGGACAAUAUUACUUAUAUAAAGUUGCACCUUUUUGACUUUUAUCAAUCAACUUGUCCUUAAAAAAAACCAUUUUGUUUUAUGGAUAACUUUCUUUCAAACUUAUUUAGUAGGAUUGAAUAAAAUUGUGUAUUAUUUGUAAUCAAAAGAUUGUUCUCAACUUAUAUAUAUGAAAUUAGUUGUAUUUACUUGAUCUGUUGUCUGUAUAUAGGUAUGACAUUAAUCAAAAUCAGGGGACCAAGAUUUUAGGUUUAAGGGCUUAUUAUUGGCAGAUUGGAAUUUAACCACAUAAUUCCCUUCAUUAUGUAGGAAUAUCUCAGGCUCAGUAAUACUAAACCAUGUUUGAUUAACAUAUACUCCUCACCAUGUAAUUGUACCAUGGGCUGUCACCAAUGAUGUACACAAUCAAAGCACUGCUCCAUUUCUCAAUCUCCUUCUCCACUUCUGUUUUUCUGAUUGGACAAUAAUUUUACUAUUAGUAUUCUGGGGGGAACAUAAGAGAGAUUUAAUUCCAUUUUAAGCAUAGCAAUUUCUAACAAAUAGAUUUACCUAUGUAUUUCCCGGGGGCUCUUUUUCCUCUUCAAAAAUUACUGGAUCUGCGUAGUUGAAAGAAAAAUAUUUUGUUAUAAAUCUAUCUUUACAAUUCUUUAUUUCCUCCACACAUCUCCACACACAAAAUAAACUAUCAAUACCCCCGGUUAUAAUAAGAAAUUAGUUCAACUCCUUCAGGUAACAUUGUUCUAAUAAGAAUACAUACCAAAAAGUUCUAUUCUAACGAUUAUUUGCAAAUGAACUUGAGCCAAAUUAACUAACUUGAGGUGCGUCUACGUAAUUGAAGUAAAUAAGCACAUUGCUUAACCUGUUGAGCCCGUACACAACACGGGCAACAUUCUUGCUUGAGAAUAAAUAAAAAGGGAGAGUAGAAACUUAUAUUGUUUUGUGGUGCACAAUUUAAGUCAAUAAAGUAUAUUGUAAUGGUCCAAAGAAGAGGAAUUGAAUCUCUGAGUGGACAAUCUGCAGGUUAUAUUUGAAUUUCAUUAGGAGCAAAACCAUUAUUGAACUAAUGUCACUAUAUCAACAACAAAACCUUGGAGGCAGAACAAUAAGAUAAUUAGCCAAAUUUAAUUUCAUAAAUUAGGUAUAAAGUGUGGGGUCCAUGAAGAAGAAGAAAAAUAGAUGUGAUAAAGACUUCUAAAUCUUUUUUUGGCAGCCACUAUUUUUGUUGAAUUGCUCAAAUUGAAGAGUUCGAAUAUUUCUUUCUUUUGAUGUCACUGAUGACAUCUGUAGGGAUAUAGAAUCUCUAUAAAUAGAGAGCUUCUGAGCCAUUUGUAAUACAUCAACAAAGAGAGAAAAGAGAGAGAGCAAAGUAUUCCAUAGACUAUAAGAAAAUAGUCUGUGAAGAAAAAUAGAGUGUGUGAGAUAUUGUAGUGAGGUGAAAAAAGCAUAAGAGUAUUUUUUCUUUUGAGGGUGCAGUGGUCUUAGGAGUAUUUGUACUUGUUACUACACAGUGUAAAAUUCCUCGCUAUAGUGAUAUCAGUUGCUCUUCUUGACCGUAGCUUUUUCCCUUAUUCAGAAGAGUUUCCACGUAAAAUCUUGGUGUCAUCAUUGCUGCAUUUUUACUCUUGUUGAUUUAACCAUAACUUAGUGGUCCGCGUUUAUCACUAAUACCGUGAAUAUUAUUUUUACGGGGUUUAUUAGCAACAAGUGGUAUUAGAGCCACGGUUCUGUCUGCGUAUGCUCUGUGAUUGCAGCACAGUCUAAACUUCCACAUUAGAAAAGAAUUACUUUGGACUCCUAAUAAAUAGUAUUUGUAUUUGUGAUAAACGAUGGAAGCCAACACUAGUAGAAUGGUUACUUUGAAUGACACAAAGUUUG
rnacentral:lncRNA from 1 species